AUAUUACAUGGAUUUAUUGUGAAGGUGUAGACUAUAUUACAUGGAUUUAUUGUGAUGGUGUAGGUAGACUAUAUUACAUGGAUUUAUUGUGAUGGUGUAGGUAGACUAUAUUACAUGGAUUUAUUGUGAUGGUGUAGACUAUAUUACAUGGAUUUAUUGUGAUGGUGUAGACUAUAUUACAUGGAUUUAUUGUGAUGGUGUAGGCUAUAUUACAUGGAUUUAUUGUGAUGGUGUAGACUAUAUUACAUGGAUUUAUUGUGAUGGUGUAGACUAUAUUACAUGGAUUUAUUGUGAUGGUGUAGACUAUAUUACAUGGAUUUAUUGUGAUGGUGUAGACUAUAUUACAUGGAUUUAUUGUGAUGGUGUAGACUAUAUUACAUGGAUUUAUUGUGAUGGUGUAGACUAUAUUACAUGGAUUUAUUGUGAUGGUGUAGGUAGACUAUAUUA
rnacentral:lncRNA from 1 species